GAACAUUUUAUCUUCUUAGAAUGUUUGUGAGUUAGGAAAACUAGGACAAAGGUAGUCAUAAUCAGACAUUGUUAUAAAACUACCAGGAGCUGGGCGUGGUGGUGCACGCCUGUGAUCCCAGCACUUGGGAGGCAGAGGCAGGCAGAUUUCUGAGUUUGAGGUCAACCUGGUCUACAGAGUGAGUUCCAGGACAGCCAAGGCUACACAGAAAAACCCUGUCUCAAAAAAAAAAAAAAAAAAAAAAAAAAAAAAAAAAAGAAAGAAAGAAAGACAAACUACUAGGAAAACAAAAUAAAAGCAAACAUGACGUGGUGUCAGCUUUGGAUAAAGGGUAUGUUUUGAGAGGCCACCGUUAAAGUGUUUGAAGUGUUCUUCAAAAACACGUAGUAAUUUAAAAAAUAUAUGUAGACCAAAUGUGGUGGCACAUGCCUUGGAUCCCAGACUCAGGAGACAGAGACUGUCAGAUCUCUAAUUUUAAGGCCAGCCUGGUCUCCAUAGUGACUUCCAUGCCAGCCAAAGGGCACAGUGAAACACACACACACACCCAGGCAGUGGUUGUACACACCUUUAAUCCCAGCAUUUGGGAGACAGAGGCAGAUGAAUCUCUGAGUUGAGGCCAGCCUGGUCUAUAGAGUGAGUUCCAAGACAGCCAAAGUUACACAGAGAAGCCUGUAUUGAGAAAAUAAAAGGUGGUAGAAAAAAAAAAAACCCAAAACAUACAUACAUAUUUUAAAUCUAUACCAUCAAAAUAUGUUCAUAUAAUAAAAACUGGGAGAUAACUUAUUAAUAGCCUGUGUGUGGGGGGAGUAAAAAGAAUAAAAUGUUUUAAAAUUAAAUGAAAAUAGUACAUAUACUAUUUCAUUUUUGUUAACUCCAAAAACUGAUACAACUAACUUAUAAUAAUAGUGGUUAGAUUAAUGAUCACCCAGGAAAGAGACAAAAGAGAACUUUGUAAAGGGUACUGAGUAUAGGUCAGAGCUCACUGAAAUGUAUAUGCAGAAGGCUUACACCUCUGGGCUCACUAGGUAGGCAGAUUUACCACUAAGGUUGCUGACCUGAGUUCAGUUCCUAGGAUGCAUGGUAGAAGUUGUCCUCUGAUCCCCAAACCCAAUCCAUACACAAACACAAAUAAAUACGCAAAUAACUGAAUUUUAUGUACUGUAUAGUAAACCUGUAAAGUAUAAUUCAAUCAGAAAGUUUGUAUAGGCUGGCAAGAUAGCUUAGCAGUUAAAAGAAUUGUCUGCUCUUUCAGAGGAUACAAGUUUAAUUCCCAGCACCCAUACGGUAGGUAGCUGUAACUCUAGUUCCAAGGGAUCACACACCUCUUUCUAGCUUCCAUGGGCACCAAGUGUGCAUGUGGUGCACAGAUAUACAUUCAGGCAAAACAUUUGUGCACAUAGAAUAAAAAUUUAAAAUGUUCUGAAAAGAAAGUUCUCUGUGUUGUGGCUGUUAUGUAUGUAUAAGCCAUGCUUGGCUUUUACUUGGGUUCCAGGGAUAAACUCAGAUCUUCAUACUUGCCAAGCAAGUACUCUUCCCAUUGGCUCACCUCAGACCUAGCCCUGGUUUUGUUGUUUUUAUCUUAAUUCAAAAAGUCUUAAUAAGGAAGACAUGUAUCUCUUUCUUGUGAUCACAGCAUUUAUGAGGCAGAGGCAAGAGGAUUUUGAGUUUCAGUCCAGCUAGCCUAUCUAAGAAUUCAAGCCAAUUUUGGCUUCAAGGCUCUGUUUAUUUUACUCUUUUAAAUUUAUUUAUUUAUUUAUUUUGUUGUUGUUUGUUUGAGACAGUCUUUCUAUCUAGUCCUGGCUGCCCUGGAACUCACUGUGUAGACCUGGUUGGCCUUGAACUUACAGAGAUCCGCCUGCCUCUGCCUUCUAAGUGCUGGGAUUAGUUAGAGCACUUGGGAGGUAGUACCACAGCCAGAUAAGGCCCUGGAUUGUUUUUAAGGGUCUUGUUAGUAGGUACAGUUCGAAGACUGUUGACUUUCUCGUUUGUCUCUAAUUUGAUGUAGGUUCUCCUGAACAUCCAUGAUAAUGAAGUCAUUGUUGCUAUUGCACUGACAGAAGAGAGUCUCCAUCGCAGAAAUAUUACACAUUUUGGACCUACAACUCUUAGGUCAACUCUUGCCUAUGGGAUGCUCAGGUAACAGAAGGGGAUUUUGCUGUCCAUAUUGUAAUGAACACUUUGCUCUGAAUUAAAUCACUCAUUUUCUAAAAAAAAACAAAACAAAAACUCCCAAAACCAUUUUCUUAGUUAGAAUUACAAAGUACCUAUUUUCUCUUCAGUAUUUACUGUUGUCAGUUUUUGAUGCAGAAAACACCACGUGGAUGGUUUAUUAGUAUUCUUGGUUAUACAUGUGAGAGUGGUGUUGUGUGUCUUCAGCGAGGAGCUGCUUCUGUCGAGAGAGGCUGUGCUGCUUUAGGCAAUAGAGUGAAGCAGAGGAGAUCCUUGUGAUGUGUGAGUGAGUACAGACCUUGUCUGUUGAGUGACAGUGCUGGCAUGCAGCUUGGUAGCCUGAGUGCUGGGAUCAUGGUACAUAUCACCACACCCCAUUUACUCAUAGUUUUAAAUGUUACACUGGCUGUAACCUAGGGAUCGUGUUGGGACUUUGACAAGUGCAAGACAAGCAGCCUGCCUCUGUUGUCAGUCUUACGUUCUUGGUGUUUUCUUUCUCAAAUAAGUCUUUUUCCCCCCUACACUUGAGAUUUCAGUACUGCAAAAUGGGCUUGACAUGGGAUGCCAAAGAUUAUUCAUGUGCUCAACUUGGCAGCACAUACACUCAACUAAAGCAAUAUAGAGAAGAUUAGUAUGGCCCCUGCAUAAAGAUGACAGACAGAUUUGUGAAGUGUUCUAUAUGAAAAGAAAAAGAAAAAGAAGAAAAGGUUUACUCAUGCUGGAGAGAUGGCUCAGAGCUUUAAGAAUGUCUGCUGCUCUUGCAGAGGACCUAAGUUUGGUUCCUAACAUUCAGGUUGGUAGAUAACAACAACCUGCAACUUCAGCUCCAGGGGAUUCAACACCUGUCUUCUGUAGGCACCAGCACAUACAUACUUUAAAAAUCCCACCCACACAUAUGCAUAC
rnacentral:lncRNA from 1 species